AAAUUUAUUUUAUUUUUUACAGACAGCGUCUCACUCUGUUGCUCAGGCUGGAAUACAGGGCCGUGAUCAUAGCUCACUGCAGCCUUCAAACUCCUGGGCCCAAGCAAUCCUCCCACCUCAGCCUCCCAAGGAGCUAGGACCACACACAUGCGCCACCAUGCCUGGCUAGUUUUAAAGUUUUUCAUAGAGACAGGGUACCACUAUGUUGCUCAGGCUGGUCUUGAACUCCUGGCCUCAUGAACUCCUUGAACUCCUGGCGAUCUUGCUGCCUUGACCUCCCAAAGUGCUGGGAUUAUAGGCAUGAGCCACUGCGCCCAGCCAAAAGAGAGAACAAAUGAGUGGGUUUGUGUAGCUCACCCAGAAAUCGCCUGACCUGCUCCAGGUGGGAGGCAUGCUGCAGGAAGAAUGCCACCAGGACCUGCCCCCCUCACCCUCAGAGGACCCCUAGGCUCUCACCUUGCCUCUCUUCUUCCCUACAAAAAGUCAGGAGACUGGAAGCCCUGCUGUCUCCUCUAGCAGGCUUCUGGGAUUCCCUUGGUGUGCCCCCAAAUGAGACUGCCUCCAAAAUGGGAUCCUGAUGCCACAUCAAAGAUGAGUAAGUUCAAUCCUCACCCUCACCAAAAGCAUAUAUGUGUGUGUGUGCACACAUGUACAUACACUCACCAUCAACUGCCACCCCAAACCAAUUAAAUAUGAUCUGGGGACUAGGCACUUCUGUGGAUUAUCCCACUCAGUACUAGCCUUGAUUAAUGCAGAUAAUGGAGAGCUGACUGGAUACAGCUUACAGUAUUUAAUCUUUCCCGGCAUUGUAUUUGCAGAAGCCAAAGUAAUGAGAUGGAAAUAGGUUAACCAGCAAGACACCUGUCACCGAAGCUCACAGGCUAGAAAGAUCAAUACUUAAGGAGAAAUAUAUGUCUUUAUGUUUUGCACCAAUGCUUCAGUCCAACAUUUGGUCCUAGGAGGCUGAGGAUAAAGUUUUAAUGAAUUAAUUUUCUAGCUCAUUCUGAAAAUAAGUUACCCAUUUCUUUGAGUUCCUUGUGUACCGAGGCCUGAUGAGCCUUCUUGGUCAGUGCAUGCACACCUCCACUUUGGAGCGAGGUUGUCAUUCCGCACACGUAGAAGCAGAGUCUGUUCUUGACUGGCCCUGGGGAAGCUAACAACUCCCAGGUUCCUGAGAGUUGGAACGUCCUUCUAGUGUCUAACUUCAAUCUCUCCUGCUGCAGCAACACUCAUUUUCCUUCUCUUGAUCUCGCUGAGAUCAGCAAUUCCAGGCCACCUGAUGGGCGCCUCAGAAUCCAAUGGCUGAGGAUUGAGCCCUUCCUGCACCAAUCUUGGGCUGGCCUGUUAGCCUCCCUGCGCUUGUGCAGCUGUGUGUGGGGGUUAAGCAUCCCUGCCCUGCCUGCCUUAAGGACAGCUUCCAUGAUCAAAGGUGAAGUUUCCUGAGUGAGGCUCUGUAAACCUGCAGCACCUCACACCUGCCUCGGAUUAUUUAUUUCUCUCUGAACCUAGACCCCAGGCAUGGAUACCCUUAAAUCACAGGCAAAUAUUAAUAAAACCCAGCCUGUGAGGGCUGAGGGACUCUUACAGACAACGCAGUCCACAGCCUCUUUUCGAAAACAAAGAAACUGAGGCCCCAAAGGGAGGUGGCUUACCUCCAUCACACAAACAACACCGCUAAAUGGUGGCAGCCCUGCCUGAGUUGUCAACUCCUGGAUUCCAGGCCUUUGUCGCCCCUCAGGCCACCCCACCAAGCCCUGGCUCCAUUUGAUCCUUGGCUAACUCUUGUAGGGUGCAGGGAUAGUAGCAGUGGUGAGGGGGCAGAGGGAUGCCCCCGCCAGGCAAGCCCCUCAGCACACCCUCCGCUCUGCCACCCCAGCCAGGAUCACAACUUGAAACAGGACAGAGAAGCCCGCCAUCCCCAUGGGAGAGGAGCUGGAGUCCAGGCUCCCUGGAGAGGGAGUUAAUACUGCAGCACGGCGCACUCUAGCCAAGACGGAGAAGCUGCUGAGUCACAGUCCAGCCGCCUGGCCAGCCCUGAGCUGCCUGCUGGGGCCCCCAGCUGCUCCCAGCCCAGGGGGCUGCCUCUGGCCCCCAGACAGGCUGCCUUCCCACCUCCUUCUCCAGAGACUCAGAAUCUUGGGCCUCCAGGGUUCCCCACUCCCCAGCACCCCACAACAUCUCCCAAACCCACAGGCAGCUGUCCUGGGGCGGAGGAGAGGGUCUUCCAUUGGUUGGGUGUCAAGAUGCUUGGGAGCAGGCCGGGAAGGGUGGGCGACCCGGAAUGAGUGAUUGAGUGGGGACAGAUGGAGGCUUGGGGACCAGCGGGCCCUGGGCUGCCUGGUGUAGGAUACGGAAAGUGUGUAGGGGGGGUGCACCCGUGGGCCCCAGGAGGUCUGUUGUGCGCAUGCUCUGAGUGUGAGGGAGGACGGGUAGGACUGUGGGGGUCUGCCCUGGUCGUGCUCCCAAGAGAGGCACUGCUUUCUGCAGAGUGCGUGGGCAACUGCCAGCUGGGGGAGCGCUCACCAGGGGAAAGGGGAGCUCUCUGUGGCUUAGCAGUGAUUAACCCACACAAUCAAUGGAUCCUCCAGCCACAGUGUGAGCAGCUCUGCCUCAUGUGAGGCACACAGCACCUUCCAGCACAGUCCCGAUAUCUUUCAUGCCAGAUGCACAUCUUCAAUUUCAGCUACAAACUGUUACAAAUUGAUGCAUUUUCUUUCUGACUAAAUGUUACAAGGUUUGAACACACUAGCUCUGCCGAUCACCGCCCCUCUAAGGGAUGGGUUUAGAGGUUUGGCACGAAAGCAAAAGCCUUUUAAUAGGAGUGCGUGAGUGUGGAUGUGUGUGGUGUGUGUGGUGUUUAGUAGUGUGUGUGGUGUGUGAUGUGUGUGGUAUCUGUGUGGUGUGUGUGGUGUCAUAGAGUGUGUGUAUGGCAUGUAGCACAGUGUCUGGUGUGUAGUAGUGUGUGUGUGGUGUUUAGUAGUGUGUGUUGCGUGUAGUAGGGUGUGUGUGUGGUAUGUAGUAGGGUGUGUGUGGCAUGUAGUAGGGUGUGUGGUGUGUGUGUGGUGUGUGGUGUGUGUGUGGUGUGUAUGGCAUGUAGCAUGGUGUGUGUGUGUGGUGUCUGGUCUGUAGUAGGGUGUGUGUGGUGUGUAGUAGGGUGUGUGGUGUGUGUGUGGUGUGUGUGGCGUGUAAUAGGGUGUGUGGUGUGUCUGUGUGGUGUGUGUGUCGUGUGUGUGGCAUGUAGUAGGGUGUGUGUGUGAUGUUUGUGGUGUGUGCUGUGUCUGUGUG
rnacentral:lncRNA from 10 species